CACUACCAUCAAUAUUUUUCUUCAAGUGAGGAUUUAGAAAAUUUUCAAGCAAAGGAGAUGAAGUCUCUCAUCACCGCAUUCAUUUCUUCUUUUCGUCAAGGUUGAGCAGUGAUGAAAUGGUGGUUGGGUGGAGUUGGUGGUCGUCUCAUCUCUUUUGUAGGAUUUUCGUGGCAUAUGUCUUCAUACAUAUGGCCAUGUGUUUACAACUCCUUCCGUUGUGCACUAUUGUAAUAUUAUGUACUAGAUGGAUCAUAAGAACAAUGGUUAGUAACGAGUGACUUAUGUUAAACACUCUUUGAAAUUUCAUGAUUCUUUCGUUGUCUUGUGAACCUCAUUUGUAUUAUUAAGAAGUACUUUUUGGUCUUA